UUUACCCUUAAGGUUCUUAAAGACUUUAGAAUCUGUCAUGUAAAAUGUAAUAUUUUAUUUUAUUAAAUUGCUGAAAUAAUACACACAUUUCCUUUAUAAGAUGUGCAGGGACCCGUCUCCUCUACGGGGCUUAUAGUCCAAUACUAAUAAUAAUAUUAAAAUAUCUUGUAAUUAUAGUAAUUAUCUACCAGUAUCAUUUUAACUUGAAAUAGUAAAUUCAAAUAGACUUGUCUGUUACUUACAUUUGGAUUGCCUGCUUGGAUUCUUAGUUAUGAAAAGCAGAGACAUAAAAGCUCUUUGUAUGGCUGUGGGAGAACAGAAGUGAGGGUGGUUUUGUUCACACAGUACCUGUAUGUUUUUAUUCUGGGGACACUAAGGAUAAGAGAAACUAAGCACUUGAGGGGAUACCGGGGGAGAAGCACUAAAAUGCGUUUCUACUUGAGCUGGAAAAAGUCUUUUCCUUUUCCCUAAGAAUUUUCUAGGGCAGUGCUUCUGAUUUAGAUAUGACAAAAUCCUGGGCUUGUCAUCUAGUAGAAGCUUUUUUCCCCCUUGUUUUCUAUUUCCUAUGUUUAUGUGAGAAUUCAUGUUGAUAAAUAUAUUUUUAAUCUUAGCAGGAAGCAGAUUUGGCAUUAAAUAAUGUUAAGGUAAAAACUUUUUGGAAAAUAAAUCAUUAUUUUGAUUAUGCUCCAGAUUUCCUGAUAGGAACACAAUCACUUGAAAAUAUUCAAUAUAGUAAAAGGAAUACAAAUUAUUAUUGGGAGCAUUUUAUUAGACUCUCAAUUUCCUGAUUGUGUCACUAUUCUUGAGAGAAUACCAUACAUGAAAAGAACAGUGUGAUUUCAAAGAUUUAUCAAGACUUUUGUUCUGAGAAUACUCAAAUGAUUUUUUCUGGUCAAGUAAAUACUUUAUGACAUAGUUAAAAAUAACUUUUGGAAAAUACUAAUAUAGGGUUUGAAAUGCAAAUUACACUCAAGGCCAUAAUCUAUGGGGCUUGGUUCUACAAGAGUUAUUUCACAGGAGUUUUUAUUUCCAUCUAUCAGGUGCUAUUCCCUAUAUAGUUUCCAUAUUGCAGUCGUUUCUUUACAGCUAUGACAGAACACAAUGUCAAACUCAACUGAUGAUCUCAAAGUCCCCAUGGACCACAGCCAUGUAUGGACAGGAAAGACAUACAUUUUUGUGUCACGGGGGCUCUUUAUUUCGCCCUCCCACCCCCGCCCAACUUGGCAGCCCAGGAUGAGGAUGGAAAUUUGAAAUGAACAUGAGAAUAGAAUUCCAGCUCGGUGACACAGAAAAAUAAGGAUGAAGGGAAAUGAUGAGCUCCGUUUUAAUGUAUUAUUUAGAAACCUCUCACUGCUGACAUGAAGCUGUUCUGAGUACCGACAAGGUGUGACAACAGGAAGUGCAACGAUGGGCAGGGGUUUAAAUGCUGCUAUGCAGCCACUCACUCGACAAAUGAUUGAAAUAUAUAUAACUACAAAGAAAACCAUCACAAGACGCUUUGAUGGCAGUCAUCAACAGCCAGGCUGAGGCUGUUCUUGGAGUGGUGUAGAUCAGGAGUUCUGAAAACAACAACAACAACAACAACAACAAUAACAACAACAACAACAACGUAUGGUCAACUGAUGAGACUCAGAAUCUCUGUGGGCCAAGAAGUGAGACUUGUUUUGUAGCUCACCGUGAGAAGAUUUGAAAUGAAGAGUUCAAAGAACUGGUCUCUGAUGAAUGGCAUUGGGAUGGUGAGGUCUGGAAAAAGAUGGGAAAAAGGACUUCAGCUUUCAUCAAGAGCCCUUCUCUAACAAACACUAGAUGUAUUAUUUCGUGUAUUCAUUAUUCUGAUAAAACGUGAAAAAUCAUAUGAAAAUAGAGUAUAAAUAAUUCUAUUAAUCUGAAACAAUUUAGUUCUUUAGAAUGUGUCUUAAUAUAUUAUUCUUCAGUAUAGUAUUGUUUUACAUAUACAAAAACUACUGAAUUAUCAUAGUAAAACAUACAAACAAUUUUGAUACAGUAAAUGUUUCUCUUAACUUUGAUCAAACUUUAUUUGCCACUCUGGUAAUAUUCUCUAGUUGGUCCUAUGAGACCAUUAUCUAUACUCUUAAAUUAUACAUAUAGGUACCUAGAGCAGCUUGUUUGAUUUUAUUUGUGUAUAUAACUUUAACAUAAAUAGACCCCUCUAAAUAUCAAUAUGGAAUUCUUUUUUAACUUGUUGAUAUAUUUCAGUGAGAGUUUAAUUUCAGUAUGCAUAGAUUUGCCUUAUGGUACAUUUCUUUUUGUGCUCUUUAUUUUUUUCAUAUUUAGGAGAAGAAUUUCUAGACAAUAGGAUAUAGGCACUUUGAACUUUAUACUCUUUCACAGACUAUAUGAAAAUGCAUGUUUUCCCAAAUCUUCACCUAUAAAGGGUGAAAUACAAUGUAUCACAAUACUAUGUCAAUAUAUUAUUGCUCUAUUGUGGUUUGAUUUUAAAUUCCUUGAUUCAUAUUCUGUUACAUUAUUUGAUUUACUUUUCAUUUUGCUGGAGUACUUAAGUUACUUUUAAGCAAAUGCAUGGUGAUGGAAUAAAUGUUUUGACUACUUAAAUGUCUGAAGUCUAUGAUAACAAAUUUUUAAUUUUAGAUGAAAUGAAGAAAUUUCAAGAAAACUGCAACUUACUAAAACUGACACAAGAAGAAAGUCUAAAAUUUUUCAUAUUUAUGUAAUUGAAUCUGUUACAAAUGAAAGGAAGGAUUUCUUUAUAUAUUCUGGAUAGUAAUCACUUUUUAUAAUACAUGUUUGAAAUACCUUUCACCCACUUGUCACUUGACUUUUAAUACCCUCUAUGGUGCUCUCUGACACAUAGAAGUUUUAAAAAUGUAAGUAGAAUGUCCAAGAUAUUACUAGUGUUUCCUGAUGUGCCUUGUUCAUCUUACCUUUUGGGAAAACAGAAGGUUGCUUGGUCUGUUUCCUGUUAAUUUAGGCAUGGCCAUGUGACUGUCUUUGCCCAGUGACAUGUCACUUCCAGGGGAAAUCAUUUGAGUCAGUUUACAAUUCUCCAUGUCGUUCUUUCCCUAGAGCAUUGACCAAGGUGGUGUAUAUUCUAAAUGGUACAGCUAUUCAAUAGCGGAGGAAUAGAAAAAAAUAGCAAACAAAUGAUAAGAAUGUAGAUUUAAACCCUGUUAUUGAUGAAAUACUUAAACACAUUAAAAAACAGUGCCACUGGAUAAAAAAGAAAGUCUUACUAUUAUAAUAUAUGCUGCUUCCUAGAGAUAUGUCUUAAAUAUAAGAAACCAGAAGGUUAAAAAUAAAAGUAUGGAAAAGCAUGUUCAGAAAAACCUAAUAAAACAAAUCUACCUUGAAUAUGCCAAUAUUAGAUUAAGUCUAUUUUAAGGAAAGAAGCAUUACUAGAGAUAAAAAAUUCAUCAUAAUUAAAGGGUCAAACAACUAGGGAGACUUAACAAUUCUUAAUUAAAAUGAAAACCUAAUUGCAUAGCUCAAAUAAUAUACAUAUAUAAAGAAAAGCACAUAAAGCCAAAAUUGAUACAAAUAAAAAUAUACAGAUCUACACUUGUCUCAGAAAGUGAUACAACAAACAGAUGCAAUAUUGGUAAGGACAUAGAAGAGCUCAACGCUUUGUUCCACAGCAUGAUUGAUAUGUAUAAAAUACUGCACCCAUCAAUUCAGUGAUGUACUCCUUUUAAGUACUCACAGAUUAUUUAACUAAAUUGCUCAUGUUUAGGGCUACAAAGCAAGUCAACAGAUUGCAAGCAAUUAAAAGCUUGCAGAGUAUGUCUAUUGACCAUAGCUCAAAUAAACUAGACAUAAAAACAAAAUGCUAGAUAGACAGUACCCAAAUGUUUUAAAAUUAAACAACUUACCCUUAAAUAACCCAAGAAAUGGAAUCUGUUAUAAAUGAAAAGAGAAGGAGUGUCUAGAAGUCAGUAGAUUUUAAUAGUUAAGGAAGCUUGAGACCUAAAAGAACAAGUGUUUCUUUCACAAAUGGAUGUGAAUUGCACUACGGAGUAGGAGAGACUCCAGUACCACCUCUGGAACUUGAGGGCUCCGAGGUGUAAAAAUGAAUAUUCUUUACUACAGAGAGCAGCAGAGAACCUGUACUAUCAGAGGAGAGUUCUAUUUCAAUUGGGAGAGAAAAUUAGAGGCACAUAUUGGUGAAGAAGCUUAGGAUUUUUUGAAAUACCUGAAAUUCAGAAACAUAAUUAUGAAUACACAUAUUACUAGAAAAUUUCAAUGCAGGUUAAAGGUAGUGACAGGCAAAUGCUGUGUUUAAAUAAAAAAUUGAUCUUACUCUUUUGGUAUUUAUUUUGAUGACUUUAAAAUUGCCAGAGGGUUCAACAGACAUCCCUAAUCAUUUCCAUCCAACUUCUAGCUAUUCCCAAAGCCUUAUCCACCCAGAAAUACAAUCAUUAAGGUUUACUGGGCUGAAGUGUGGGAGGGAAUGUAAGUGUCUGCUGUAUACAUUUAUGAGGUAAUGAAUUUUUUUAAAAGAUUAAAAGUUUAAGGUUUUUUUGUUUAGAUUGUUUGAAAACAUCCACUCUCCUAAUGUAAGUACCUCUGUGGAUAUAGCCAUAUCAAAAUAGUUAUGACAAAAUUUCAGGUAUUUCUAUUGGAAUAUAGGACAGUGGACAGGGAAGAGUUAAAUCAGCUGGCCUACUCUAUUUAUUCACACUAUUCAUGUCCUAUCGUGGGGAUGGUGUUGGGGUAUAGACCUGGGGGAACUAAAAGCAGACAGGCAACCCGGGUAACUUUGUCAGUAUGCUAACCAGACUUUCUAGUAAAUAGAUUAAUAAUAUUUGCUAGAACAUCCUUAUCUAUGGGAUCUUCUUAACAAGAUAUCUCUGUUUAAGGAUUGCCAGUAUGUCACAUAAACUGGGAUAUAAAAUGGACGUGUUUCAUAAAUGGAACAUCCUCACCGUGAGGAAUAAUCUUUAAAUAACUUUAUUACUGUGGGCCGCAGAGCACUUGUCUGAUGUCAAAAAGGAAGAUGUGGGAACCAUUCUCAAAACUCCAGGCCUCUAUUUAUUUCCAUUUGAGCCUCUUGAUUGCCUAUAUCUUUAACUUGAUUAGUAAAAUCUGUUAAUGGGCAAGAUCCUUGAUUCAUUUGAGUUUGAAAUGAUAAUGUGUUCCUUUAUGUUUUCUCAGGCAUCUCUGUGAGUCUGUGGUUUCAGAAAAGACUUUUUGUAAGAGCUAAGUCUGAAAGCCUUAGCUCAGUUUGCUUAGUCAAGAAGGGUGCAGCUGGAUAAAAAGAACAUGAACAAAAUUUUUAAAAAAGCCCAAAUAAUGGAACAACAAAAAAACUGUGAAGGAUAGUGUCAUUGGGAGUGACAAGAGGUAAGUUUACAAAACAGGACAGGGCCAGAUCAUGCUUAGGCCAACUUGUGAGAGGUGGCCUUCCUUGGCAUUCACAGCAGACACACCCAGAACUGCAGAGAGAGCAGGUGGAACCUCUGCAGAUGCUAUUUUGAAGGUAAGCAGAGAGACUGGCGAGGCAGCCGUUCCAGCAGCUCAGUUGAGAAAUGACCUGGGCUGAACCAGGAUAGGGAUGCAGCAGAAGGAAUGCUUUUGUAAACCAUUUGGGAGGGAAAACUUUUAGGUCUUGCCUGUUGAUUGGGCAUGAGGCUUGAGGCAGAGAACAGAGUCGAACUGAGAACAAACUUUCUAGCUGGAAUGGCGGAUGAGAUGGUGAGGCUGUGGCCUGAAAGAGUUCAUGCAGGAGGAGAAAGGAAUUCAGGAGGUGUAUGAUAAAAGUUCUGUUUCAAACACCUAAAGCUUGAGGUGCCUGUGGGGUAUGGAGGUGGAUAUUUCCAAGAUGUGUCUGAGCCAUGAGAACCCAGAGAAGCUCACAUGUAAGGUCUAGAGCAAAUGUGGGCAUCAUAUGUAUAUAGUUUGCAGUUCAAACUCUGGGAGAGGACGAGAUUGCCGGUGAACAAAGAAUACAAUAAAAAGGCCAGAGCACUCACGGGCUAGUUUGUAAUUUUUAUUGAGCACGAAUGUGUUUAUCACUGGAUUCUUCAGGACUCUGUAGUUAAAUAAGGUAACUGUAUUGUGAGCCUUGUAUUUAGAGAAUAUAUAGGAUUGAUCUUCCUGGUUUACUCUGAGGAUCUGUAUAUUGAUAAAAUGUGAUUAUAUUAUAUAGUUUCCAGAAGAGAUAAUUUAUAUCAUGUACAAUGAUGAUAUAGCUUGUUUGAUGUCAUUAUUCUAAUAAAUAGGAAAUCCAGCUUAUCUGCAAAUCAUACUUAUGCUUCUCUCUUUAUCAGCAUGUACUCAAUAAGCACUUGGUAAUUGUAUGUUAUAUAAAUGAAGCUAUGCAUAUGUAAUGUCCGUCAUGUUAUUUGGAAGGGGGCAUCUGUGCUAAACAAGCUAAACACUUUUAUUACCAAAAACAUCAAGGAAUGCAAAUACCAUAACUUCCUGCAAGUUGUUUAUUGCCUAUGAAAAGUAGCUAAAAAGUAUUAUAUAUUGCCAUUUCAUCAUUCCAUGAGAUUACUUUAUUGUUAAGUUGAAGUGACUGCUGGCUUUAUUAAACUCAGUGCAAUAUUGGAUUUCAUUACAAAUUUUCAUUUUCAUAGUGAUAAUGUCUUCCGCAAUACAACACUCUUCAUUUAUUACUUCAUUUUCACUUCUUUUUAGCUUUUGUUUUCAUACAAACUCUAAAAUGAAUAAGCUCAGGGAAAGCCUCUUGUGACUAAAGAUUUCUUAUACUUCAACCUUUGGAAAAUUUACAUAAACAUUACUUGUCAUCCCAUUGUGAUAUGGGCAUAUGAGAUUUGAUUCUCAUUUUGGGAAAUAUUUUGUCACAACAAGAAAGGGCUUUGCUUUCUCUUCAAUUUUUGUUAGAGAUGGUGAAAAUUUGACCUCCAAACUAUUAUUCAUAGUAUGGAGAGAAAUGAAUAUCAGAAUUAACAAGCUCAGAAUGCUGGAAUCAAGCUGUUAAACACGACAGAUCAUUUUAGUUUUAAUAGCCUUUUAUUGUAAAUUAUUUUACAAUACAAAUUGCUUUCUUAACUUUUGUAUUUCUGAUAAUCUUGAUAUUUCCUUGGCUGAUAUUUAAUGUUUUAUGUUGUAUCCUUCCUUUUUCUAGAGCUAUUUGUGGUAGGUCUCAAUUGCUCUCCAUUAUUGAGACCUUUCUCCUUGGGAAUAAAAUUUCUCUUCAUUUAAAAAUCCAGUCAUUUUAAUGUAGUGUUACAAUGACUUCUCACUCAACAACAGCGUUUUGGAUAAAAUGUUAAUUACACCAUGAAACUUCAAUCAUCAUCAUGAUGGCAACACUUGCAUUUUCAUUUUUAAUUCCUUCAGUGAGUUAACUCUUUCUAUUAUGACAGGGUGAUGUAAUGUGAUGGGAAUUUCAAAACAGCCCUGCCUUUGGCAUAAAAUAGCCCAGUGACUUUAGAUCGGUCUUGCAAACAGUCUGGACCUCAGUGUACUCAACGGUAUAAUUAAGGAGUUUAACUUCCUUCCAGGUGACAACUUCUAGAAUUAUUGCUGCAAAGAUCCGGUUAUCCUCACAGGGAGUGAGUGAAAAAAAGUGGGAAGAAACUAACUUAAUUCUAAGAAAUGAGAGGAUUACAGAUCCCAGAAGAUAAUCAAGUGCUUCAAGACAGUUGAUUAAGCCAAAUUAUAUGUGGUAGAGAAAGAUUUGUGGAGCAGUUUCAGAAUAUAUACACAUGUCUGUCUGUUGAAUGUAUUCCUUCCUCUUACAGGAAGGAAUUCCUUCCAGGGUCAUUGUAUGUGAUAAAGAUCACUUGUAAAUGAAAACUUUGGAGGUUACAGAAGAAGUAAAUGUCAGAAAUGAAGGAAAAUAAUAGCAGGUAAAGGAAAGAAAGGGAGGAAUCGCAGAAAUGAGAAAAACUGAAAAGGGAAGAAAGCAGAGACCACUAAUUAGAAGUCGAGCAUCUUGGAGGAUGAAAUUAUGCCAUAAUUUUCUUCCCUUGUAAGUGAUAUAUAUAUAUAUAUGUUGGAUUGAAUUUUGUCUAUUUUAUCUUCCUUAAGGUUUGUAUGACAAGUGAGGGAUCAAAAGAAGGGAGAAAGGAAGGACAGGCAGUUUGAAAGAUGAAUAAGAUUUGAAAACUCAAGAGGAAAUUGAGGGGAGUUUUUUUGUGAUGACAGGAUACUAUUCUAGUAAGGUUUAUAUGGCAAAGGAAGUUGAUUAGUAGUUCCAUGGUGAUGAAUAUUGCAGUGAACAUUUGCAACUGGACUGCUUGACACUCAGUCUAGAAGGGAGAAGUGGAGACCAUCUUUCUUUCCAGCCCCUGGCGGCACAUGGCCCAUGGACAGUGAAUGAGAUGCUCUGAAAGUGCAGAGGUCCCUUUAGGGUUAUUAGAAACAAGUAUGUUGGAGAAGCAAGUCCAGUGGCUUGGAGGUGAGUGUUCAGGCAGAGCAGCUGCAGUCGGAUGCUGAACAGACCAUUCCUCUGUCAGGAAAAGUAGCUAAGCAUCUUCUCCCUCAAUUAUUAUUGAGCCUAUUCUGCUAGGUUUUCAAUUAGUUUUGGGAGGUGACCCUUUACAAUAAACUCCUUUACUGCUUAAGUUAAUCUGAGUCAGUAUAUAACCAACAAAUACUCCUGGUGACUAUAAAUCAAAUAAAAUUAAUUUUUCCAAAAUACUUAAUUUUAUAACCUCAAAUUUUAACAUCCCUUUCUUAAUUUGUCAAGUCUGGGAAACAUUUGACAUGAGAGCAAGUGAAAAUAUCUCAGGUUUUAUAGUCAGGACACUUAGCUCUUUAGCCACUAUCUUUGUCAUCUUGGGCAAAUUACUUAGCCUCCGCCCUUAAUGAGUUUCCGCUUCUCUCAUGUGUCAUAUAGCAUCUUGGCUGCAGCUGAGAUGUUUCUGGAGCAUACGUUUUCCUUGGGGGGUCCUUUUCCGUUCAUUCAUAUGCCGGAGGGCAUUUGAAGAGAACAUUUCCUUGGUGUGUUAGGAAUGCAGGCAAGGAAAAUAAGAGGGAGAGACAGCAGAGUGUCUGUCUUCUUUGGGAUCUCUUCAACUGGGCUAAGCUUCUGUUUUCACAGGAACAACUAAAAAAGAGUUCAGGGACUAAUUCUCAUGGAAAGUCUUGAGACUGAACCAGUAUAGUGUUUCUAAAAGACCCCAGAAAUAAAGUGGAGUGAGAGCUAAAGAAAGAGUCUUAUCUUCUAUUUCUACAUGUUGUCCAGGGUCGUUUUUGAUGUCUUGAGGGGAUCCUAUCAGCAGGAGAUACAGAGAGACUCCUACUGACAUCAGCCUUCAUGCACACAUAUGAAAGGAGAAACCAUGUAGCUGAUCCAGCCUGGAGACCAUCGAUGACAGCCUGGAUGAUGGACACAGGUGAGGGGACUCCAUCAAAGAACAGACAAGACUUUGUUGUAGAAAAACAACAACAACAAAAAAAGAGGCUGACAUCCUAUAAUAAAUUUGUGUUUGGCAGAAUCCUAAGGUGGCCCCAAGAUUCCCACCUCUAGGUGUACAUAUUUUGUAUACUCGCUCACCCUCUGUCUUGAGUGUAGGCAGAACUUGUGAAUAUGAAGGAAUGUCACUCCGUGACAUCUUAGGUUAGAUGACAAAGGUUAUCCCCUCAGGGGAUCUUGAUUAUAGCUGCAAAAUCCCCUUUGUCAUCCCCUUUAAAUUAAUCAAAAGGGAAUAUGAGAGUGGUCUGCAGAUAACAAGUAGCAAGAAAAUGAAGACUUCGGUCCUGCAGCUGCAAGGAAACAAAUUCUGCCGACAAACGCGAGAAACUUUGCAGUGAAUCUUUUCCUGGUCAAGCAUCCAGGUUGAGAACUCAGCUCAGCCAAGACCUUGAUUUCAGACUUGUGAGAGCUUGCAUGGAGAACUCAGUGACUGUCUGUAGUUUAGGAGUUAAUUUUCUCACUCUGUGUAUUAACUGAGUCUGCUUGUAAUUUAUUGUUUCUGACUUUUUUAAAAAACUGUAAAUAUUCAUUGACUUUCUAACGGAUUGCCUUUGAUUGAUCGAUUGGUGAUGGAUGCUAAUGGAAUCUGUGACCCAUUCUUUACAAAUUACAGAUUUCAGAAAAGGAGAGAAGCCAAAAACGUUCACUUGAGAGUGUCAUUUGAAGAGGUAAGCCUCCUCAAUUGACAUAUGUGCCCAAACAUUUAGCUGCAUUAUUUUCUGAAGAGCCAGCAGACCAUUCUGGUGACACACUCUUUGCCUUAUUGUUUGCUACAUAAAAACCUGAAUGGAACUAAAUUAUAAACUAGGGCUAUAGAAUAAAUGCAGCAAUGAUGGCUUGAAUGGCUAAAACCUGAGAUGUCACUCUCAAUGAAAGGCAGUGUUUAUUCCACAGCUCAGAGUCACCAAUAGCAUGAGAUACUAAGAAAAUGAAAUAAACCCUAAGUUAGUAAAUUACAAGAAGUCAUUCUCAAAGUCCAUGUCUUGUCUGUCCUUUUGAUCAUAAGGUCAUUAUGAGAUACAAAUACUAACAUAUUUAAAAUUUAAUAAAAAAGAUUUUAAAAUGUAGUUCUCAAGAGUGGUCAGCAACCUUAAAAUUGGGGGCUGCAAACACAUUCCACUGGCAAAGGAUUAUGCAAGAUAAAUUGUUGAACUUUAAAAGACUAAUAAAUUAUAUUGCAGUUAAUUUUAUUAUCUUUUAAUCAACAAUGAAGUGGAUGCACUAUGUUUAAGUUUUUCAAGGAUUUUGAAUAGAAAAUUGUGUUUUCUGGUCAACUCCCAUCACCAAUAUUCUGGACACGAAAUUUGUUCCAUAUAAGAAAGUAGAAGAGAUGGUUCUGCUGUGCAGACACCUUAAAAAAUCCAGAAAUGUGGCAGAGGUGGUGGCCACCACUUGCUCCUCUUUUCUCGAUUUUCUGAGCUGGACUUUUAUUGAAGGAUAUAGGGAAAUUUGAAAAGAAAAUACUGCUUCUAAUCCUGCAGUCAUCUUCUGCUUUGGCUCUUGAGGGUUCGUUAUUCUGGAAGCUGGAAUGACAUUCAGUAGUGUACUCUGAAAAAUGGGAGGAGUUAAUGCGGUUUUUUAAGGUAUGAUUAUGGUCUCCACUUUCCUGUCUAAUUUUCUGUAGGGUAAUUCAACCUGUAUUUCCCCAUCUCUUAAUGAGAAUGAAUAGCUACACAGUCUGUUUCAGGGGCUUUAAUUGUUUCCUAGACAUUGCGGAUCUUUUCUAAUAGUGCUUGUGAUGCUUGAGACAAAGUCCCCAUUCUUGAAUGGUUUCUGCCAAUCCGACUUUGUGAAUAAACUCUAAUGACAAUAUUUUUGAGAAAACCAUCGUAAGAAUGCCAUCAAUGUCUUGGAAGUGAAUUAUAGGCUAUAGGAGAGCCCUGCGGGGAGGGAGGGAGCAGGGAGCCUGCAGCAGUACUGACCAAAUCUUUCAUGUUCCUAACUAUGAUGAAACAAAGUUGUUGCUUUUUUUUCAAAUUGCCCUAGUUAAAAGCAGUGAACAAACUACUCAAUCUUCACCCCAUGACAAUUUUCUUGUCUCUGUAUGGAACCAGCGUUCAUUUCCAUCAUCUGGCCUAAUAGUUUGAGGCAUUUUCCUUAGUAACAUGUCUAUUCUCUCCUUUAUCAUUUGCCUUAUGGUGACCAGAGCCUUCUAC
rnacentral:lncRNA from 10 species